UUGCUCCAGCAGCUCAUACGCUAAACUUGGGACAACAUAGAAAAGAUUCCAUGGCCCCUGCAUACAGACGGCAUACAAAUUCAUGAAGUCUCCCGUAUUUUA
ensembl:snRNA U6 U6 spliceosomal RNA